rnacentral:rRNA from 1 species
AACGAACGCUGGCGGCAGGCCUAACACAUGCAAGUCGAACGCUCGUAGCAGUACGGGAGUGGCGCACGGGUGAGUAACGCGUGGGAACGUGCCCUUUAGUUUGGGAUAACAGCUGGAAACGGCUGCUAAUACCAAAUACGCCCUUCGGGGGAAAGAUUUAUCGCUAAAGGAUCGGCCCGCGUAAGAUUAGGUAGUUGGUGGGGUAAUGGCCUACCAAGCCUACGAUCUUUAGCUGGUCUGAGAGGAUGAUCAGCCACACUGGAACUGAGACACGGUCCAGACUCCUACGGGAGGCAGCAGUGGGGAAUAUUGGACAAUGGGGGAAACCCUGAUCCAGCCAUGCCGCGUGAACGAUGAAGGCCUUAGGGUUGUAAAGUCCUUUUGUCAGGGAAGAUGAUGACGGUACCUGACGAAUAAGCACCGGCUAACUUCGUGCCAGCCGCCGCGGUAA